rnacentral:rRNA from 1 species
CUCCCCGAAAGCUAUUUAGGUAGCGCCUCGUGAAUUCAUCUCCGGGGGUAGAGCACUGUUUCGGCAAGGGGGUCAUCCCGACUUACCAACCCGAUGCAAACUGCGAAUACCGGAGAAUGUUAUCACGGGAGACACACGGCGGGUGCUAACGUCCGUCGUGAAGAGGGAAACAACCCAGACCGCCAGCUAAGGUCCCAAAGUCAUGGUUAAGUGGGAAACGAUGUGGGAAGGCCCAGACAGCCAGGAUGUUGGCUUAGAAGCAGCCAUCAUUUAAAGAAAGCGUAAUAGCUCACUGGUCGAGUCGGCCUGCGCGGAAGAUGUAACGGGGCUAAACCAUG